rnacentral:rRNA from 1 species
GGGGAAACGGCAUUUGGUGCUUGCACCGAAUGGACGUCGACCGGCGCACGGGUGAGUAACGCGUAUCCAACCUUCCCGUUACUGCGGGAUAACCUGCCGAAAGGCAGACUAAUACCGCAUGUUCUUCGAUGACGGCAUCAGAUUCGAAGCAAAGAUCCGUCGGUAACGGAGGGGGAUGCGUCUGAUUAGCUAGUUGGCGGGGCGACGGCCCACCAAGGCGACGAUCAGUAGGGGUUCUGAGAGGAAGGUCCCCCACAUUGGAACUGAGACACGGUCCAAACUCCUACGGGAGGCAGCAGUGAGGAAUAUUGGUCAAUGGGCGGAAGCCUGAACCAGCCAAGUAGCGUGCAGGAUGACGGCCCUACGGGUUGUAAACUGCUUUUAUGCGGGGAUAAAGUGAGGGACGCGUCCCUUUUUGCAGGUACCGCAUGAAUAAGGACCGGCUAAUUCCGUGCCAGCAGCCGCGGUAAUACGGAAGGUCCGGGCGUUAUCCGGAUUUAUUGGGUUUAAAGGGAGCGUAGGCCGGGGAUUAAGUGUGUUGUGAAAUGUAGGCGCCCAACGUCUGACUUGCAGCGCAUACUGGUUCCCUUGAGUACGCGCAACGCCGGCGGAAUUCGUCGUGUAGCGGUGAAAUGCUUAGAUAUGACGAAGAACCCCGAUUGCGAAGGCAGCCGGCGGGAGCGCAACUGACGCUGAAGCUCGAAGGUGCGGGUAUCGAACAGGAUUAGAUACCCUGGUAGUCCGCACGGUAAACGAUGGAUGCCCGCUGUCGGCGCCUUGCGCCGGCGGCCAAGCG